rnacentral:tRNA from 1 species
GGUUUCAUAGUGUAGUGGUUAGUACGUCUGCUUUACACACAGAAGGUCCUGGGUUCAUGCCCCAGUGGAGCCA